AGGAUCGUUCAGUCCAUCAUCAGUAAUGGAUAAGAGUUGAAUGGUGUCCACUUAGCACGGCAGAUAUGACCUGGAUCGUACAACAGUUCCCAGUUUGGAAAUUUACCCCCAUGUGCACUGUACUGACCUCUAAUGCUUGGACGUCGCCCUGUCUGUUCUGAGGGACAGCCCUGACCCAUCAAGACAUGGACUCCACUAAACCCCUGAAGGUGUGCUGUGGUAUCUGGCACCAAGAUGUUAAGAAACUCCAGUGACCUGAACAGAGUCCUGACCUCAGCCCCACUCAGCAGCUUUGGAAUGAACCAGGACAUCAACUGAGGCUUUCUUGAUACAAAUGCUCUUUUGACUUAAUGGGCACAAAUUUCCACAGAUAUAUUUCAAUAUAUAGUGAAAAGCUUCUCAGAAGAGCGGCUGUUGAUCUAGCUGAAAUAAAUCACA